rnacentral:lncRNA from 1 species
CCGGCUCAAAGCAGCGCGACUGGCCUCGGGCUCCUCGAGCCCCAGCCUAGCGCCCUGCGGGUGGGUGGCCCCAGGAAAGCGCGCUGGGGAUGGGGGCCGUGAGGGCGCGAGGACCCUCACUGGCACCCCUAGCCCAAGUCCCCACAUCUCUCCAGCUCAGGCCCGGAUCAGCUGCUUGGCUAGGUUUCCUUUGGGUUGGUUUUUUUUUUUCAAAGCAGUUUAAGUUUAGGGAGAGGGGGCUUUAAGGCCUCACGGUGCUUAAAUUAAAGAGGGAACGGCCUAGGACCAAUUCGGGGGAACUGUGGCCUUUUUCCGCUCCCAGAUUUUUAGAAGCCCAGAUCUCGGGGUUCCGAAGCGCACUCCCCCCAGGUGGCGAUCUUCCUGCGAGGCCACGACCAGGAACGGUUCACAGUCUGUGUCCCCGAAGACACCGGAUCCCCCGCUCCACGAGAGCAGAGGACGCUGCGUUUCUUCACGCGGCCCAGCACGGCGCCCCCACCCGGAGCGCGGAGGGUGAAGGACGGAUCCUGCCAAGGCCGCGAGUCGCCCCCGGGUCUCCAGACUGGGAUCCCUCUGGUCCCGCUCUACCCACCCCGCCGGAGUCCGCAGCGAGUCUCCGAGCCCCUGCCUGAGGGCAGGUCCUUGCGCCGAAGCGUCGGGUCACCCCAUUCCCUGAGGGGACAAAGCCUGUGUGACUGGGGAGACGUGCAGAGCCCUUUCCACAAGAGCGCAGUUUUAUAGACCUCCAAAAAACCAACCCGACGGUGUGUUAUUUCGAUUCCCCUGUAAAGUUUUGUUCGUAUUCUAGGUAAACGUCUAAUUUCAUCUAGUUUUCCCUAAGGGCAGGAGGAAGCACUGCCCGGGCCAGGCUGCUGAACUUUGCCUGGAGACCCAGUGGGGAACCAAGUGCUCGGAGCCGGCCUCGGGAGUGCAGGUCCCGGCUCCAGCCCAGGGC